rnacentral:rRNA from 1 species
GAUGAACGCUGGCGGCGUACCUAAUACAUGCAAGUCGAGCGAACGGACGAGAAGCUUGCUUCUCUGAUGUUAGCGGCGGACGGGUGAGUAACACGUGGAUAACCUACCUAUAAGACUGGGAUAACUUCGGGAAACCGUCGCUAAUACCGGAUAAUAUUUUGAACCGCAUGGUUCAAAAGUGAAAGACGGUCUUGCUGUCACUUAUAGAUGGAUCCGCGCUGCAUUAGCUAGUUGGUAAGGUAACGGCUUACCAAGGCAACGAUGCAUAGCCGACCUGAGAGGGGGAUCGGCCACACUGGAACUGAGACACGGUCCAGACGCCUACGGGAGGCAGCAGUAGGGAAUCUUCCGCAAUGGGCGAAAGCCUGACGGAGCAACGCCGCGUGAGUGAUGAAGGUCUUCGGAUCGUAAAACUCUGUUAUUAGGGAAGAACAUAUGUGUAAGUAACUGUGCACAUCUUGACGGUACCUAAUCAGAAAGCCACGGCUAACUACGUG